rnacentral:rRNA from 1 species
GGCGGCACUAGCGCGGUGGUCCCACCUGACCCCAUGCCGAACUCAGAAGUGAAACGCCGUAGCGCCGAUGGUAGUGUGGGGUCUCCCCAUGUGAGAGUAGGGAACUGCCA